rnacentral:rRNA from 1 species
UACGUAGGGACCAAGCGUUGUUCGGAUUUACUGGGCGUAAAGGGCGCGUAGGCGGCAAUUCAAGUCAUCUGUGAAAUCUCCGGGCUUAACUCGGAACGGUCAGAUGAUACUGCUUGCUAGAGUGCAGGAAGGGGCAAUCGGAAUUCUUGGUGUAGCGGUGAAAUGCGUAGAUAUCAAGAGGAACACCUGAGGUGAAGACGGGUUGCUGGGCCGACACUGACGCUGAGUGCGCGAAAGCCAGGGGAGCAAACGGGGA